UACGGGGGGGGGCAAGCGUUGUUCGGAAUUACUGGGCGUAAAGGGCGCGUAGGCGGUUUGCUAAGUUGAAUGUGAAAACUCUGGGCUUAACCCAGAGCCUGCAUUCAAUACUGGCAGGCUAGAGUUCUGGAGGGGAUAGCGGAAUUCCAGGUGUAGCGGUGAAAUGCGUAGAUAUCUGGAGGAAUACCGGUGGCGAAGGCGGCAUCCUGGACCGAGAUUGACACUGAUGAGCGAAAGCUAGGGGAGCAAACGGG
rnacentral:rRNA from 1 species